CGCUGGCGGCGUGCUUAACACAUGCAAGUCGAACGGAAAGGCCCUGCUUUUGUGGGGUGCUCGAGUGGCGAACGGGUGAGUAACACGUGAGUAACCUGCCCUUGACUUUGGGAUAACUUCAGGAAACUGGGGCUAAUACCGGAUAGGAGCUCCUGCUGCAUGGUGGGGGUUGGAAAGUUUCGGCGGUUGGGGAUGGACUCGCGGCUUAUCAGCUUGUUGGUGGGGUAGUGGCUUACCAAGGCUUUGACGGGUAGCCGGCCUGAGAGGGUGACCGGCCACAUUGGGACUGAGAUACGGCCCAGACUCCUACGGGAGGCAGCAGUGGGGAAUAUUGCACAAUGGGCGGAAGCCUGAUGCAGCAACGCCGCGUGCGGGAUGACGGCCUUCGGGUUGUAAACCGCUUUCGCCUGUGACGAAGCGUGAGUGACGGUAAUGGGUAAAGAAGCACCGGCUAACUACGUGCCAGCAGCCGCGGUGAUACGUAGGGUGCGAGCGUUGUCCGGAUUUAUUGGGCGUAAAGGGCUCGUAGGUGGUUGAUCGCGUCGGAAGUGUAAUCUUGGGGCUUAACCCUGAGCGUGCUUUCGAUACGGGUUGACUUGAGGAAGGUAGGGGAGAAUGGAAUUCCUGGUGGAGCGGUGGAAUGCGCAGAUAUCAGGAGGAACACCAGUGGCGAAGGCGGUUCUCUGGGCCUUUCCUGACGCUGAGGAGCGAAAGCGUGGGGAGCGAACAGGCUUAGAUACCCUGGUAGUCCACGCUGUAAACGGUGGGUACUAGGUGUGGGGUCCAUUCCACGGGUUCCGUGCCGUAGCUAACGCUUUAAGUACCCCGCCUGGGGAGUACGGCCGCAAGGCUAAAACUCAAAGGAAUUGACGGGGCCCCGCACAAGCGGCGGAGCAUGCGGAUUAAUUCGAUGCAACGCGUAGAACCUUACCUGGGUUUGACAUGGAUCGGGAGUGCUCAGAGAUGGGUGUGCCUCUUUUGGGGUCGGUUCACAGGUGGUGCAUGGCUGUCGUCAGCUCGUGUCGUGAGAUGUUGGGUUAAGUCCCGCAACGAGCGCAACCCUUGUUCACUGUUGCCAGCACGUUAUGGUGGGGACUCAGUGGAGACCGCCGGGGUCAACUCGGAGGAAGGUGGGGAUGACGUCAGGUCAUCAUGCCCCUUAUGUCCAGGGCUUCACGCAUGCUACAAUGGCUGGUACAGAGAGUGGCGAGCCUGUGAGGGUGAGCGAAUCUCGGAAAGCCGGUCUCAGUUCGGAUUGGGGUCUGCAACUCGACCUCAUGAAGUCGGAGUCGCUAGUAAUCGCAGAUCAGCAACGCUGCGGUGAAUACGUUCCCGGGGCUUGUACACACCGCCCGUCAAGUCAUGAAAGUUGGUAACACCCGAAGCCGGUGGCCUAACCGUUGUGGGGGAGCCGUCGAAGGUGGGACUGGUGAUUAG
rnacentral:rRNA from 1 species